AUGUGGUUAGCCAACAGUACCCCUAAAUCUCUAGUUUUCUGUAGAUCCUUGUGCUUCCUAUUUGUAGUAGUUAGUUUCUUCCUCUUUGUCCACAUUAGUAUGCCGAGGAAAGAGCGGCGGUCAGGCGUGGCAUACAUCCACAAUGACAAAGACCGUGAUCUCACCUUCUACAAGCGACGUUCCGGUUUGUUCAAGAGGGCGACUGACAUCUCUGCCCUCACUAGGGCUAGGGUUGCGGUCGUCCUAGAAACAAACAAUGGAAAGAUGCACUCAUUUGGGACGCCAUUGGCCGAUCCCAUUGUUGAUGCUUUCCUAUUUGGAGCUCCACCAGCAGUUACCUCUGCCGACGAGGCAACCACUGCCAGGAUUGGAAGCCUACAAAACGAGGUGGCUCAGUUGGACAUGGAGAACAUGACCGAGGAAGACAAAAACCAACUUUCCAUCCUUCGUAUGAAAAAUAUCCAAGAAGAGAAUCCAAGUAUGGUGGCAAAUCUUAUCUUCACGAAGGAAAAAGAUCUCAGUCUUGAAGAUCUGACCAAGCUCUUCAGUGAGCUCUCUCGGGUCCAAAAAGACAUUAGAUUGCGGCUACCUCCAUUGCAUGGUCGUGAAGACAUGACCGGUGGCACAUGUGUGGCACAAGCUCUGCAACUACCAAGUGCUGAGGAUCAUUUGGGUACUACUCAUUCACUUAUGCAGUCGUCGUGGCCUCACAAUCACUCACAACUCCAGCUACCUUCAGAUCCACUACCAUCACAACCAGAACAAACUUCGGCACCACCUUUUCCUAUGCAGGAACCACAAAUGUUCCAUUCUGCACCACCAUCUUUAGCUCCCUACUUGGCUUCCCAUGUCCAACCCAUACCAAAUCAGGUACAUGAGCAAACUCCACCAGAGGAGUUGCAUGUUCAGAACUAUGAAAGUCCUUGCAACAUAGUGCAACCACAACAAAAUGAUGCAAACCAUGACUCAACAUAUGGGCAAAAUUUGGAGGCCUCUCCACUAUUGGGGUACUCGAGUGGCAAUGCUUUUUCUAUUGAUGGCCCAUUUAACACUGAACAAUGGGGUUAUGCUCUAUCAGAUCUGUCGUGCUACAAUAGUUUCCUAGGGAUGGAUGCUUACUUAGGCUCUAGCAAUACGGAUCUAGGACAGUCUUCCAUGGUAAAUGGUGGCUGGGUUGAUGUGCCGCCCUCUUCCACUGGACAAGAUAUUGAUAUUCUUACAGACUAUGGAGAGCUGUUGUAG
rnacentral:rRNA from 1 species